rnacentral:rRNA from 1 species
UACGUAGGGGGCAAGCGUUAUCCGGAAUCAUUGGGCGUAAAGGGUGCGUAGGUGGUCAAUAAAGUCAGAGGUGAAAGGCUAGGGCUCAACCGUAGUAAGCCUUUGAAACUUAUUGACUUGAGUGCAGGAGAGGAGAGUGGAAUUCCUAGUGUAGCGGUGAAAUGCGUAGAUAUUAGGAGGAACACCAGUGGCGAAGGCGACUCUCUGGACUGUAACUGACGCUGAGGCACGAAAGCGUGGGUAGCGAACAGGAUUAGAUACCC